AUGGAAAAUGACAUAAUAAUAAUAACCAUCAAUUGAAGCAACCAGGGCAAGACCCCAAACAUCCGAUGAAAUCGCUUCUAAAGGCUGUGAAACAACUAAAUUGGAAUUAACAAAAGAAAGUUUAUGACUCUUGCUAACACUACAGGCAUGACAAUGGCCAUUAGUAACUUUAUUAAAUUUUAAAUUCAAACUAGGAAAAACUUGGCGAACUGCACGAUCAUUAGCAUGACCCAAUCUGGCAUGCCAUAAAGAGGACUCGGUGGAGAAGACUUGCGGUGAUGAUGAGUUCUUCAAGUGCAAGGGCAGAUGAUAAAGACCGUCGUCACUCCAGCCGCGAUAAAGGACCUGUUUUGUGCGGGAAUCCUUGAGAAAAUGGUUAGAAUAAAAUUCAACAGAAACAUAAUUUUGAGAUGUUAAAGCAUGAAUAGAAAGCAGAUUUUAACGAAUAUGUGGUGAGCAUAGAAUAUUAUUGAACCGAAAAUUAACAUCAGAAGUUGACAUAAUUGAGUUACCAGAAUAAGAGAUAGGAAUUUGAUUACAAUUGCCUAAUGUAACAUGAUCCGAACCAGGCUAGGCAGCAGGAGCAAUGAUGCUGGUAUCGUCCAAGGUAAGAUGAAAGUUAGCUCCAGAAUCAACCGUCCAGGUUUGUGGAGCAGGAGAUGCUGCAAUAUAGGUCUGUUGUUGGCGAGAAAUAGGAGAAGCUGCAGAAGACAAUACCGUGCUAUAUGUCCUUGGCCACGGCAAUUGUGACAGAUAAUGUGAAGUGGAAUUCGGCCAGAGGUGGGAGUAGUUUGUUUGCCUUUGCCACGACCGACAGAAGAGGAUGACUAAAGAGAAGACUUUGUGGCCAGAUUGGCGUAACAGGAGCAUUUGGAAGAAGGGGAGAAGCAACAGUAUUUUUUUCCACUUCCUUCGCUUAAUGAAAGCGCAUACAGGUCAUCAAAUGAGAUUGGUGUAUUGCGAGCUUCAAUGGCACGCACAAAUGGUCGAUACUCGAUACCGAGUCCUCCAAGCACAUCACUCACCAAUGAUUCUUCAGUCACUGGUGAAUUCAAUGCAGACAACUGAUCAAACACAAUCUUUGCACGCCGCAUAUAGGUGACAAUGUCAUCUGACCCCUGAGACAGGUGCUUCAAUUGUUUACGUAAUUGAAGAACCUACAUACGAGUUCCAGCGGAGAAGAUGGUGGCCCGACGGGUCCAGGCUGUGGCAGCAGUAGUAGACAUGACAAUCUGAGUCAGUAAAGGUUCAGAAACAGAGGAAAAUAUCCAACUGAGAAAAAGUUGAUCCUGAUGAUACCAUUGUUGGUAUUCAGGAUUGGGGUUAUUGCUCUCCAACGUAACACGAGGUACAGGUGCGGCACAUGAUGAGCGAGAUUGUAUCCGUUGAGAAGAGUAAGCAGCUAGGCUUUCCAGAGAAGAAAAUUGGAAGACGUCAGUUUCAGGUUCAGGUGUUGCGAAACAUUAGGAAUAGCAGAGGAGUUGGAAGCAGAAGUGUUAACGAGUGCCAUUGUUAGUUCAGGCUCUAGAUAUUAUGAAAGGUUUGAAGGAAACAUUAAUUUGAUUGUAUUGAGUGAAUGACUUUUAUACAGAUAUACAAAAAGGAGAUAUCUG
rnacentral:misc_RNA from 1 species